rnacentral:rRNA from 1 species
GUCGAACGAAGCUUGACGGAUGAUUUCUUCGGAAUGAAACCAGAUAUGACUUAGUGGCGGACGGGUGGGUAACACGUGAGCAACCUGCCUUUCAGAGGGGGAUAACGGCUGGAAACGGUCGCUAAUACCGCAUGAUGUGUUCGGAUGGCAUCAUCUGAACAUCGAAGAUUUAUCGCUGAAAGAUGGGCUCGCGUCUGAUUAGAUAGUUGGUGGGGUAACGGCCUACCAAGUCUACGAUCAGUAGCCGGACUGAGAGGUUGAACGGCCACAUUGGGACUGAGAUACGGCCCAGACUCCUACGGGAGGCAGCAGUGGGGAAUAUUGCACAAUGGGGGAAACCCUGAUGCAGCAACGCCGCGUGAAGGAUGACGGUUUUCGGAUUGUAAACUUCUUUUCUUGGUGACGAA